rnacentral:rRNA from 1 species
AUUGAACGCUGGCGGCAGGCCUAACACAUGCAAGUCGAGCGGAGCGGCGGACGGGUGAGUAAUGCCUAGGAAUCUGCCUGGUAGUGGGGGAUAACGUCCGGAAACGGGCGCUAAUACCGGAUAGUGGGGGAUGGAUUCGCGUCAUAUCAGCUUGUUGGUGGGGUAGUGGCCUACAAAGGCGACGAUCAGUAACUGGUCUGAGAGGAUGAUCAGGCACACUGGAACUGAGACACGGUCCAGACUCCUACGGGAGGCAGCAGUGGGGAAUAUUGGACAAUGGGCGAAAGCCUGAUCCAGCCAUGCCGCGUGUGUGAAGAAGGUCUUCGGAUUGUAAAGCACUUUAAGUUGGGAGGCGUUACCAACAGAAUAAGCACCGGCUAACUUCGUGCCAGCAGCCGCGGUAAUUC